rnacentral:rRNA from 1 species
GAUGAACGCUGGCGGCGUGCCUAACACAUGCAAGUCGAGCGAGGGUUUGCUCAGUAUUGAGUAUUCUAAAACUAGAAUGUUCAAUUCUGAGCAAAACCAAGCGGCGGACGGGUGAGUAACGCGUGGGUAACCUGCCCUAUACACAUGGAUAACAUACUGAAAAGUUUACUAAUACAUGAUAAUAUAUAUUUGCGGCAUCGCAGAUAUAUCAAGGUGUUAGCGGUAUAGGAUAGACCCGCGUCUGAUUAGCUAGUUGGUGAGAUAACUGCCCACCAAGGCGACGAUCAGUAGCCGACCUGAGAGGGUGAUCGGCCACAUUGGAACUGAGACACGGUCCAAACUCCUACGGGAGGCAGCAGUGGGGAAUAUUGCACAAUGGGCGAAAGCCUGAUGCAGCAACGCCGCGUGAACGAUGAAGGUCUUCGGAUCGUAAAGUUCUGUUGCAGGGGAAGAUAAUGACGGUACCCUGU